ACAAAACACCGAGCAUCACCGUCUCUUGUUUUCAUGUGCUUGUGCUAUGUGGGAUGCUCCUCUGGGGCUAAGACUUUAGCUUUUAAAUUUUUGUGUGUGAGAAAAAAUAGGGAGAUGUAAUAGAAAGCACAAAAAAUGGGUCAUGUAGUUCUAAAAUUGCUGUUUGAAUCUGAAGAAGAAAUUAGUUUCUGCACUUUUAAAAGACUUUUGCCUACAAUUUUUUUUUAAUGGAUGCAACAAUAACUGCUGGAAGCUGAAUUUUUGAAAUCUGGGGCUUUUCCUGCAUGGGUGAAGAAGAAGCCACCAUCAUGGCCGGCAAGGCAAGAACAGGGAUGAAUGCCUGACCAGAAUGUGCGCACAGGAACUUACUCUGCCAAGCACAGAAUGAAUCAGAGAGAUAUGAGAGGAUCUAAGGACUCAGCUCAACUUUUCCCACUGUGCCCAUUCACAGCUGCAUUCAGUGGCACUAAGUCACAAGACAGAUGUCCAGCAGCACUUCUACAUCUGCCCCUGCCCCAGGAUUCUGUGGUCAAUGCCCCCAAACAAGACACAUCCUUCACAGAAGUACAAGAAAGUCAGUGCAGGAAUGAGGACACAGGGCAGGCACCAACACAUCUCUGAGAUCUGUCUGCAAGCAUCCGAGGAAAAAUCAAUUCCAGACAUACUGUAUCAAUUUCAGCUCCAUGUAGGAACUGGCAGCGUUUAAAUCUCUUAGCUUUUUACAUCUUGAAUCAACUCUGCCUUUCUCUUGCGUAGAUACAAAGGCAGAAUAAUCUUCCUAACUUUGAGGGAGUUUGAUUCAAGGGUACAUCUGUCUAAAGAAAUUACAUAUUUGUUUCUCCCAAUUCAUACAUUUUCUGAGGAAGGGGGAAGAUGCAAUCACUUGAUUUUGAUACUUCUAGUGACCAUCAGCUAAUUUUACCUUAGUCCCACAUUCUCUGAAGGAAUCACAAUGGAAUAAAAGCUUAAUCUUGUUCUCAUUCAAGUCAAUAAAAAAUUCCCAUUGGUUCAAAUUAGAGCAUGAGUGAUCCUGAAAUAUGAGUCAGAAUUGCACAACCCAAUUUUCAUUGGGCUAGGCCUAAAGAAUCUCCUUUAAACCACAUUCUCACUCCAGUUCCUCAUGUGCAAAAGUACUGGUUUACCAAGUGAGGCCCCAAACCCUGACUCACUGAAUUCCCACUGCAGUACUCUAAAUAUUACCUAGGGAUUUAGAGAUUUGUUCUUUCACCUUCUAGCACCAUCACUUUUUUUCCUUCCCUAAGUCUUCUCCUCUGCAAGCCCCUACACUUUGCCCUGUGCCUUUAUAGAAACAGCAAAAGCAAUAAACUUUUGUUUCCCUCU